UGGGGAAUUUUGGACAAUGGGGGAAACCCCGAUCCAGCCAUCCCGCGUGUGCGAUGAAGGCCUUCGGGUUGUAAAGCACUUUUGGCAGGAAAGAAACGUCAUGGGUUAAUACCCCGUGAAACUGACGGUACCUGCAGAAUAAGCACCGGCUAACUACGUGCCAGCAGCCGCGGUAAUACGUAGGGUGCAAGCGUUCAUCGGAAUUACUGGGCGUAAAGCGUGCGCAGGCGGUUCGGAAAGAAAGAUGUGAAAUCCCAGAGCUCAACUUUAGAACUGCAUUUAUAACUACCGGGCUAGAGUGUGUCAGAGGGAGGUGGAAUUCCGCGUGUAGCAGUGAAAUGCGUAGAUAGGCGGAGGAACACCGAUGGCGAAGGCAGCCUCCUGGGAUAACACUGACGCUCAUGCACGAAAGCGUGGGGAGCAAACAGG
rnacentral:rRNA from 1 species